AUAAUAUUAUUUCACAAUUCACAGGUAAAGUGUUUUGCGCGUCGUGCAGUUCAAACUCCAUCCCACUGCCCCGGUACGGUCAGAUGAAGCCGGUUCGUGUCUGUGAAGAGUGUUACCAGAGUACACGACGCCAUCGGUGAGACACAGGUUAAUGCCACACAGGUUAACGCCACACAGGUUAACGCAACAAAGGUUAACGUAACACAGGUUAUAAUGCCAGUAACACAACGAUUCAACUAUAGGUUAAAUAGAGUACUACAAUCAAACAAAUUUAAAAGAAUAUAUAGAGUAAGCAUAGUUGACUCUUCACUCGAGACUUUUUUUACAUAAACAUACUAUUGUCAGCCUCGAAACCACACGUCAAUAUAGUUAAUUGUAUUUAAAUUAAUUUUCAAUAGGCUGAAUCAUACUAAAAUAUUUUGUGACACUGUUUAGUUUUUUUUAUAACAAUAGAUGGAGCUUAAUGUAUUUUUUAAAAUUGGCAAUACACGCCAACGACACGAGAUGGCAUACUAAAUUUGACAACUGAUUUGUUACCUGUCAGAGAAAUUACCGAUAAAAAAUGUUCACUAUGCCUAGUCUAUAUCUCUUAAAUGUCUGACUACAAUGUGGAGCAACUUGAGUAAAGUUAUAAGUUACUGGUGUAAAGGCAG